AAGUCAGAGAUUAUUACAUCAAUUGAGGAUGGAUUUUCAUUUUUGCAAAGUGGCUACUAGUAGAUGAAAUUUUCAAGAAUGAUCCAAACUUUGAGUAUUCCAAUGCAGCACAAAAGAAAUUCUUAGCCUGGCAAAGUAUGAUAUCUAUAAUUAUUAUUUUAUUCAUUAAUUUUAAUAAUCUACAAUGUAGCUUUUGACUUAUUAAGAAUAGAUGUGUAGUAUGGGUUUAUUUGUGAGAAAUUUUUCAUACAAUAUCCAGUUUACUUUGUAUCACCACUAUACUGUUUGAGCUAAUUCUGAAACCCAAAAAUAGCAAGUUAAAAGAGUAUUGUACUGAUAUAGAUUUACCAGUAUAAUGUCAGCAGGUAGUACAACGAAGGAGAUAUAGCCAACAAAUAUAGAUACUGAAUCAACAUUCGACAACAGCAAAAAA